CGUUCCCUGGGGUGUUUGCCAGCUAAUCCAGUCCCCUGAGCCGAUUUCAUUACUACGGGAAGUUCGCGCGAUAGUUGUGUGCAUGUCCGCCCGACGGAAAGCCUGAUAC
rnacentral:sRNA from 1 species